rnacentral:rRNA from 1 species
GAAUUUUGCGCAAUGGGGGAAACCCUGACGCAGCAACGCCGCGUGGAGGAUGAAGGUCUUUGGAUUGUAAACUCCUGUCAGUGGGGAAGAAGAGCUACGGGCUAAUACCCCGUGGAAUUGACGGUACCCGCAGAGGAAGCCCCGGCUAACUCUGUGCCCGCAGCCGCGGUAAUACAGAGGGGGCUAGCGUUAUUCGGAAUUAUUGGGCGUAAAGGGCGCGCAGGCGGCCUGGCAAGUGGAAGGUGAAAUCCCUCGGCUCAACCGAGGAACUGCCCUCCAAACUGCUUGGCUUGAGUCCGGGAGAGGCGAAUGGAAUCCCCAGUGUAGCGGUGAAAUGCGUAGAUAUUGGGAGGAACACCAGUGGCGAAGGCGAUUCGCUGGACCGGAACUGACGCUGAGGCGCGAAAGCGUGGGGAGCAAACGGG